GUACGCUGGCGGCACGCCUAACACAUGCAAGUCGAACGAAGUAGCAAUACUUAGUGGCAGACGGGUGAGUAACAUGUAGGUAUCUACCCUUUGGCCUGGAAUAACACGAGGAAACUUGUGCUAAUACCGGAUAAGUCUUUACGGAGAAAGCUUUAUGCACCAUUGGAUGAGCCUGCACUUGAUUAGUUUGUUGGUGGGGUAAUGGCCUACCAAGACUGUGAUCAAUAGCUGAUUUGAGAGGAUGAUCAGCCACAUUGGGACUGAGACACGGCCCAAACUCCUACGGGAGGCAGCAGUGGGGAAUCUUGCACAAUGGAGGAAACUCUGAUGCAGCGAUGCCGCGUGAGUGAAGAAGGCCCUUGGGUUGUAAAGCUCUUUCGUCGGGGAAGAAAAUGACUGUACCCGAAUAAGAAGGUCCGGCUAA
rnacentral:rRNA from 1 species